UACGAAGGUGGCAAGCGUUACUCGGAAUUACUAGGCGUAAAGGGCAGGUAGGUGGUUUGAUAAGUCUGUCGUGGAAGCUCCCGGCUUAACUGGGAGAGGUCGACAGAAACUAUCAAGCUUGAGUGUGGGAGAGGGUAUUGGAAUUCCCGGUGUAGCGGUGAAAUGCGCAGAGUUCGGGAGGAACACCAAUGGCGAAAGCAGAUACCUGGACCACUACUGACACUCAGCUGCGAAAGCUAGGGGAGCAAAC
rnacentral:rRNA from 1 species